rnacentral:rRNA from 1 species
AUUGAACGCUGGCGGCAUGCCUAACACAUGCAAGUCGAACGAGUGGCGGACGGGUGAGUAAUGUCUGGAAAACUGCCCUAUGGAGGGGGCUAACUACUGGAAACGUUAGCUACUACCGCAUACCAUCGGAUGUGCCCCGAUGGGAUUAGCUAGUAGGUGGGGUAACGGCUCACCUAGGCGACGAUCCCUAGCUGGUCUGAGAGGAUGACCAGCCACACUGGAACUGAGAAACGGUCCAGACUCCUACGGGAGGCAGCAGUGGGGAAUAUUGCACAAUGGGCGAAAGCCUGAUGCAGCCAUGCCGAGUGUAUGAAGAAGGCCUUCGGGUUGUAAAGUACUUUCAGCGAGGAGGCGUUACUCGCAGAAGAAGCACCGGCUAACUACGUGCCAGCAGCCGCGGUAAUAC